rnacentral:rRNA from 1 species
UUAAGCGACUAAGCGUACACGGUGGAUGCCCUGGCAGUCAGAGGCGAUGAAGGACGUGCUAAUCUGCGAUAAGCGUCGGUAAGGUGAUAUGAACCGUUAUAACCGGCGAUUUCCGAAUGGGGAAACCCAGUGUGAUUCGUCACACUAUCAUUAACUGAAUCCAUAGGUUAAUGAGGCGAACCGGGGGAACUGAAACAUCUAAGUACCCCGAGGAAAAGAAAUCAACCGAGAUUCCCCCAGUAGCGGCGAGCGAACGGGGAGCAGCCCAGAGCCUGAAUCAGUGUGUGUGUUAGUGGAAGCGUCUGGAAAGGCGCGCGAUACAGGGUGACAGCCCCGUACACAAAAAUGCACAUGCUGUGAGCUCGAUGAGUAGGGCGGGACACGUGGUAUCCUGUCUGAAUAUGGGGGGACCAUCCUCCAAGGCUAAAUACUCCUGACUGACCGAUAGUGAACCAGUACCGUGAGGGAAAGGCGAAAAGAACCCCGGCGAGGGGAGUGAAAAAGAACCUGAAACCGUGUACGUACAAGCAGUGGGAGCACGCUUAGGCGUGUGACUGCGUACCUUUUGUAUAAUGGGUCAGCGACUUAUAUUCUGUAGCAAGGUUAACCGAAUAGGGGAGCCGAAGGGAAACCGAGUCUUAACUGGGCGUUAAGUUGCAGGGUAUAGACCCGAAACCCGGUGAUCUAGCCAUGGGCAGGUUGAAGGUUGGGUAACACUAACUGGAGGACCGAACCGACUAAUGUUGAAAAAUUAGCGGAUGACUUGUGGCUGGGGGUGAAAGGCCAAUCAAACCGGGAGAUAGCUGGUUCUCCCCGAAAGCUAUUUAGGUAGCGCCUCGUGAAUUCAUCUCCGGGGGUAGAGCACUGUUUCGGCAAGGGGGUCAUCCCGACUUACCAACCCGAUGCAAACUGCGAAUACCGGAGAAUGUUAUCACGGGAGACACACGGCGGGUGCUAACGUCCGUCGUGAAGAGGGAAACAACCCAGACCGCCAGCUAAGGUCCCAAAGUCAUGGUUAAGUGGGAAACGAUGUGGGAAGGCCCAGACAGCCAGGAUGUUGGCUUAGAAGCAGCCAUCAUUUAAAGAAAGCGUAAUAGCUCACUGGUCGAGUCGGCCUGCGCGGAAGAUGUAACGGGGCUAAACCAUGCACCGAAGCUGCGGCAGCGACGCUUAUGCGUUGUUGGGUAGGGGAGCGUUCUGUAAGCCUGCGAAGGUGUGCUGUGAGGCAUGCUGGAGGUAUCAGAAGUGCGAAUGCUGACAUAAGUAACGAUAAAGCGGGUGAAAAGCCCGCUCGCCGGAAGACCAAGGGUUCCUGUCCAACGUUAAUCGGGGCAGGGUGAGUCGACCCCUAAGGCGAGGCCGAAAGGCGUAGUCGAUGGGAAACAGGUUAAUAUUCCUGUACUUGGUGUUACUGCGAAGGGGGACGGAGAAGGCUAUGUUGGCCGGGCGACGGUUGUCCCGGUUUAAGCGUGUAGGCUGGUUUUCCAGGCAAAUCCGGAAAAUCAAGGCUGAGGCGUGAUGACGAGGCACUACGGUGCUGAAGCAACAAAUGCCCUGCUUCCAGGAAAAGCCUCUAAGCAUCAGGUAACAUCAAAUCGUACCCCAAACCGACACAGGUGGUCAGGUAGAGAAUACCAAGGCGCUUGAGAGAACUCGGGUGAAGGAACUAGGCAAAAUGGUGCCGUAACUUCGGGAGAAGGCACGCUGAUAUGUAGGUGAAGUCCCUCGCGGAUGGAGCUGAAAUCAGUCGAAGAUACCAGCUGGCUGCAACUGUUUAUUAAAAACACAGCACUGUGCAAACACGAAAGUGGACGUAUACGGUGUGACGCCUGCCCGGUGCCGGAAGGUUAAUUGAUGGGGUCAGCGCAAGCGAAGCUCUUGAUCGAAGCCCCGGUAAACGGCGGCCGUAACUAUAACGGUCCUAAGGUAGCGAAAUUCCUUGUCGGGUAAGUUCCGACCUGCACGAAUGGCGUAAUGAUGGCCAGGCUGUCUCCACCCGAGACUCAGUGAAAUUGAACUCGCUGUGAAGAUGCAGUGUACCCGCGGCAAGACGGAAAGACCCCGUGAACCUUUACUAUAGCUUGACACUGAACAUUGAGCCUUGAUGUGUAGGAUAGGUGGGAGGCUUUGAAGUGUGGACGCCAGUCUGCAUGGAGCCGACCUUGAAAUACCACCCUUUAAUGUUUGAUGUUCUAACGUUGACCCGUAAUCCGGGUUGCGGACAGUGUCUGGUGGGUAGUUUGACUGGGGCGGUCUCCUCCUAAAGAGUAACGGAGGAGCACGAAGGUUGGCUAAUCCUGGUCGGACAUCAGGAGGUUAGUGCAAUGGCAUAAGCCAGCUUGACUGCGAGCGUGACGGCGCGAGCAGGUGCGAAAGCAGGUCAUAGUGAUCCGGUGGUUCUGAAUGGAAGGGCCAUCGCUCAACGGAUAAAAGGUACUCCGGGGAUAACAGGCUGAUACCGCCCAAGAGUUCAUAUCGACGGCGGUGUUUGGCACCUCGAUGUCGGCUCAUCACAUCCUGGGGCUGAAGUAGGUCCCAAGGGUAUGGCUGUUCGCCAUUUAAAGUGGUACGCGAGCUGGGUUUAGAACGUCGUGAGACAGUUCGGUCCCUAUCUGCCGUGGGCGCUGGAGAACUGAGGGGGGCUGCUCCUAGUACGAGAGGACCGGAGUGGACGCAUCACUGGUGUUCGGGUUGUCAUGCCAAUGGCACUGCCCGGUAGCUAAAUGCGGAAGAGAUAAGUGCUGAAAGCAUCUAAGCACGAAACUUGCCCCGAGAUGAGUUCUCCCUGACUCCUUGAGAGUCCUGAAGGAACGUUGAAGACGACGACGUUGAUAGGCCGGGUGUGUAAGCGCAGCGAUGCGUUGAGCUAACCGGUACUAAUGAACCGUGAGGCUUAACCUU